GGCUUUCUUCGCGGCGGAGCUCGACCGCCCCUCUCCACGUUGAUCAACUACAUCGAUCAGCACAAGGACCGCUUCGGGGUCGAGCCGAUCUGCGCCGUGCUCACACAGGCCGGCGCCCAGAUCGCCCCG
rfam:Tessaracoccus lapidicaptus strain IPBSL-7 NODE_15_length_59909_cov_113.984, whole genome shotgun sequence.